GUAGUCUAUGAUGAUGUAGUCUUGGUUGGCCUGAGUCCUUUUUGGAAUAUGAGGGCAACUUAAGUCACUACCUCUUCUGAGACAC
rnacentral:snoRNA from 1 species